rnacentral:rRNA from 1 species
ACUUAAAAGCUAGCUAUACCCCACAUCUAACAAAUAUAUAUCAAUAAGUAUAAAUAUACUAAAAAAUUUAAUUAAACCAUUCUCCCCUCUUAGUAAAGGUGAUAGAAAAGAAAAAUUAAGCUAUAGAUUUAGUACCGCAAGGGAAUACUGAAAAAGAAAUGAAAUAACACAGUAAAGUAAUACAAAGCAGAGAUAAAAACUCGUACCUUUUGCAUCAUGAUUUAGUAAGAACUAAUUAAGCAAAAUGUUUUCUAGUUUACCACCCCGAAACUAGGUGAGCUACUCCAAGACAGCCUGAUAACAGGGCAAACACGUCUCUGUGGCAAAAGAGUGUGAAGAUCUUUGAGUAGAGGUGACAGACCUACCGAACCUAGUUAUAGCUGGUUAUCUGAGAAUUAUAUAUAAGUUUAGCCUAUUGUUUUCUUAAUUUAACUAAAACUCAACUAUCUUAUAAUAAAAGAAUACAAUAGAGUUAUUCAUAAGAGGUCCAGCCCUUAUGAAAAAGGAUACAACCUUAUUAGGCGAUUAAUGAACACAAAUAUAAAGUUAAUGUUUUAGUGGGCUUAAAAGCAGCCAUCUAAAGAAAAAGCGUCAAAGCUCAAACAUUCUCAUUACUUUAAAUAAAAACCUUCUAUCACAUACCCCUAAUUUUAUCAGAUUUCUCCAUCUCACAUGGAAGAAAUUAUACUAAUAUGAGUAAUAAGAAAACUUUCUCCUAGCCCUCGUGUAAUUAGGAACGGAAAAUCCUCCUAAAAUUAAACGGUCUCAACUAAAGAGAGAAUUAAGUAAUAAAAAAAUAACAAGAAAAUUACGCAACCACAACCGUUAACCCCACACAAGUGUACAUAAAAGGAAAGAUAAAAAGAAUAAGAAGGAAUUCAGCAAUACUUAAAACCUCGCCUGUUUACCAAAAACAUCGCUUCUUGUGCCUCUUAUAAUAAGAAGUCCCGCCUGCCCUGUGACAAAGUUUUAACGGCCACGGUAUUUUGACCGUGCAAAGGUAGCGCAAUCACUUGUUUUUUAAAUAAAGACCUGUAUGAAUGGCAUAACGAGGGCUUAACUGUCUCCUUUCUCCUAUCAAUGAAAUUGAUCUCUUCGUGCAGAAGCGAAGAUAAGUACAUAAGACGAGAAGACCCUGUGGAUCUUUAACCAUAAAUAGAACAUACUCAAUUACUGAUACAACCAGUAAUACACAAUGAGCCCUAUUUAUAAUGGUUUUGGUUGGGGCGACCACGGAGUAAAAUACAACCUCCCUGAGGAAUGAAGACACCUCUUCCAAUCUCAGAGUGACAACUCCAAGAAAUAGACAUAUCUAACCAAAAUGAUCCGGCAAGCCGAUCAACGAACUCAGUUACCCCAGGGAUAACAGCGCAAUCCUCUUUUAGAGUCCAUAUCGACAAGAGGGUUUACGACCUCGAUGUUGGAUCAGGACAUCCUAAUGGUGCAACAACUAUUAAGGGUUCGUUUGUUCAACGAUUAAAGUCCUACGUGAUCUGAGUUCAGACCGGAGUAAUCCAGGUCGGUUUCUAUCUAUGAAAUAUUUUACUUCAGUACGAAAGGACCAAGUAAAAAAGGCCAAUGAUCAAUCAAGCCUUCUUCUUAACUAAUGCAGACAAAUAAAUAAGUAAAAGAAAAUACUUAUUUUAGGAAAAGAUAAUUCCAC